rnacentral:rRNA from 1 species
AUGCACGCUGGCGGCGUGCUUCACACAUGCAAGUCGCACGAAGCACUUUAUUUGAUUUCCUUCGGGACUGAUUAUUUUGUGACUGAGUGGCGGACGGGUGAGUAACGCGUGGGUAACCUGCCUUGUACAGGGGGAUAACAGUUGGAAACGGCUGCUAAUACCGCAUAAGCGCACAGCAUCGCAUGAUGCAGUGUGAAAAACUCCGGUGGUAUAAGAUGGACCCGCGUUGGAUUAGCUAGUUGGUGAGGUAACGGCCCACCAAGGCGACGAUCCAUAGCCGACCUGAGAGGGUGACCGGCCACAUUGGGACUGAGACACGGCCCAAACUCCUACGGGAGGCAGCAGUGGGGAAUAUUGCACAAUGGGCGAAAGCCUGAUGCAGCGACGCCGCGUGAGCGAAGAAGUAUUUCGGUAUGUAAAGCUCUAUCAGCAGGGAAGAUAAUGACGGUACCUGACUAAGAAGCACCGGCUAAAUACGUG